rnacentral:lncRNA from 1 species
GUAUCAGGGGUGACUGGUUUCCCCCUGCCAUGAUGAAUCCUGGCAUGAUUUGCCUGGCUGUUUUGACAUUUUGUAGACCUAGCAUAUGUGGGAGGGCACUUGAAAGACGUCUCAUACUCAAGUGGUCUCUCCUCUUCCCAUACACACCUUACGGAUUCUUCACAGGGUGUGAUGAUGGGAAGCCUAGACACGCUUAUCAGAAGAUGUCAGGAGCAAGGGAGCACCAGUGGUAGAAGAACCUGCCUCCCCUGGCUCCAUCAAAGGCCACAGGCCCAUGAGAAUCACCCGGCCUGCUCUGAGCAGCACACUCGGAGGCCACAGCCACGCACAGGAAAGUGAGAGGAAGUGGAAACGUGCGAGCAGAGGGCUCAAAGCGACGGGCUCACCACCGGAAAAAAAAAAUAAAAAUAAACACGCUCAGAAAUAGUGUAACUGAUAUGCAAAGAAGAUCAAAACAAGGGUUUUAAAAUAUCUUGGCUGCUUUAGAGGAGAUGGGGGUGGUAAUUAAAGCGAGGUUGCAAAUGCGUGUUAGGGGAGUGGGGCGGUUAGGUGGAUGGUUCACUGAAGCCUGCCAGGACAUGGGAGCCUGGGAGCCCAAGGGUAUUUCAGAUGAAAAUGUGGCACUUAUAUGUGGAAUGUAAAAGAAAGUUGAACUCAUAGAAGCAGAGAAUAAAAUGGUUAUUCUCAGAGGCUGCCAGGUGGUGGGACUGGGGAGAUGUUGGUCAAAGGACACAUUUUAAUAAAUUCAAGAGAUUCAUUGCCCAUCACGGUGACUAUAGUUAACAUCAAUACAUUUUAUAUUG